UACAGAGGGGGCAAGCGUUGUUCGGAAUUACUGGGCGUAAAGGGCGCGUAGGCGGCCUCUUAAGUCGAACGUGAAAUCCCCGGGCUCAACCCGGGAACUGCGUCCGAUACUGGGAGGCUUGAAUCCGGGAGAGGGAUGUGGAAUUCCAGGUGUAGCGGUGAAAUGCGUAGAUAUCUGGAGGAACACCGGUGGCGAAGGCGGCAUCCUGGACCGGUAUUGACGCUGAGGCGCGAAAGCCAGGGGAGCAUACGGG
rnacentral:rRNA from 1 species